rnacentral:rRNA from 1 species
UACGUAGGGUGCAAGCGUUAAUCGGAAUUACUGGGCGUAAAGCGUGCGCCAGGCGGUGAUGUAAGACAGUUGUGAAAUCCCCGGGCUCAACCUCGGGAACUGCAUCUGUGACUGCAUCGCUGGAGUGCGGCAGAGGGGGGGAUGGAAUUCCGCGUGUAGCAGUGAAAUGCGUAGAUAUGCCGGAGGAACACCAGAUGGCGA